GGCUAGAUAGCAUAAUAGGUAAUGCGGAGGACUGCAAAUCCUUUGAUGUCGGUUCAAGUCCGCCUCUAGCUU
rnacentral:tRNA from 1 species